rnacentral:lncRNA from 1 species
AUGAGCAGCAGAGGAAAUACAGGGAAGGAAACAUGCAUGCAGUCCCGGCCACCACAGUGCUGUCAGACGGAAAUUUUAAAAGAGCAAGAAGCCUCAUCUGCCCUUCAAACACUGUUUCUGCACGCUCAGCAGCUGUUGCAGUGUGGCCCCGUGCUAUCCCAGAAGGGAGGGAAGUAUGGCUUGCUUUGUUUGAGUUCCAUUGUGCAGAGCCUAUCAAGUGACACUCAGCAGAACACAAAAUUGUUGCCAAACAAGGAAACUGCAAUAUCCAAAGCUAAGUUCAAGAUGCCAUUAGAGUUGCCCUUGGUGCCAGUCUCCGGGGCCUCCGGGAGAGUAAGGUAGGUAACUCCCACCAUGAGGGGUUGAAAACUAGUGUCUGCCAGUCCUGUGCAGCCAGUAAAGGUGCCUUGUUUUGAUGACACGACGAUUUUUUAAAUUUUGUUUUAAAAUUCGUUACCAACAUUUUAAAAUUGGAGAUUGCACAUCAAAAACCAGACUUCCAGCUUCUUUCAAAAAGUCAGUGUCUGGCAGCACUGGGCCCUCUUUCUUGUAUGGCCACAGACCUCGUGCCAGUUAGCCCCCCAAUCGGCCCCCACCCUGCCACCCACCUGCUUGUGUAGGUUCAGAGGGUGGGCUCGGCCCCCUGCCCAACUCUCUCCCUCAGUCUCUUCCAUCCUUGAGGGCAAAGUCGACACCAUAUUUAUGACUGGACUCUCCAGUCCCAGCACAGUGUCAGGUGGGAGGGGGCUCAGAAAAUGUUUGCCAAACAAAACCCUCCCCCUCCCCCACCUAAGAUGCUGCCCCAGCUCCCUAACUGCAGCCUCCCUCCCUGCUUGGGGUGCUGACUUGUGACUCAUUUCUCCAAGCCCAUUGGUCUCUGGUAACAGCAAACGGACCAAUAAGGGUACCACCUCCUCAGAACACCCAGCCCUGAAGCUCGGACCUCACCAGUGUAGACAGCUCUAGCACCAAAAACCUAAGGAACAGAAGAGCUACGCUUCAGGUGGUUAAGGGCAGAACCAGGACCAGGAACCUGCCCUCUGACUCCGGUGUGCAGGGGCUUCAUUGACUGCAGGUUCCAUGCCCUGCACGGUCCUGAUUCCUAUUACCGUGACCUCUGAGUGGUAUGGUUUCCACAAGUGCUAAUUGUAUUCGACAUUUGGGAAACACAUUUCACAUAAUUAAAGUAUAUCAUUCCUUUCCUAAAACCAUGGCCUGAUGUGACCUUUCCACAGUCUACACGGUUCCAGUGAAAAAUAAGGCAACUGACCAGAUAGUCCAAGCCUCGUAAUUAAUUAAAAAUCAGACGUGAUAUUCUGAGCCUGAAUCUGAGUAAAUUUACAUUGCUUUGCUUUACAAAUGAGUGCCCUACAUAGGUACGGCCCCUACUUCUCUGGCCCUCAUGCUUGCUGCAGGGUCCUCUUCCUUACCCAGGAGCCAGGGUGCACAGGAGCCAACCAGGCCACCGUCAGUGGAGUUGAGGACAGAGUCAGGCAGUGGGAUGCAGUGUCGCACCAUUGCCCCAUAGAGCCCAUACUCCGCCAUCACGCUGCUGCCGCCCCAGCGCUUCUCCCGUUUGCGCCACUUGGCCCUCCGGUUUUGAAACCAGACCUGGUUUGAGGCAAGAGGGAAGCAGAGAGGCACACAGGAGAAGACAGAGUGAAGAAGGAUGCUUAGAGGUGUCUGUAGCUCAGGGCUCUACAAAGGGCCGACCAUCCACUCGGGGUGGCAUCUAUGACCCAGACCUUUCAGGAGCUGUGCCACCGUUCACUCAAAACUCACAGGGUGGGGUAAUGCGUGGCCACUUUCCACUGAGGUUGUCCACAGAGUCAGGAAUGACAAAAAUCAAAUCUAAAUAUUCCUACAUUGUGUAAAGAAGCCCAUUUUCCACACUGAUGGGAAAUAGUUCACCUGGCAACGGCCCCUUCUAAUCUCAGGUUAUUGGAUUGCAUUAUCUUCAUUAAAGAGUAGCAUCGAAUAUUGUUCAGCUGUUAAAAAAGAGUGAGUUACUCUAGUGGCAUAUCUUCUGACCCGGACAAACGUCUAAGAUGUGUUGUCAGUGAAGAGACUAAGGAGUAACAUGUGAUACUCCUUUUUGUAAAAACAACAAAAUUCUACAUGUGUGUGUGUAUUUAUGUAUAUAUCCAUUUUGGGGGGCAGAUAAAUGUCUGACAUGGAGAUGGUAUGUAGAAAGGUGACAUCAGCACGUCUAUAUUGGUUUCUUUAAGGGUUUGUAGUGGAAGGAUAGUCAUUUUUUUUCACUGAUAUAUCUUUAUAUAGUUUCUAGUUGCAGCACACAUUAUUGUGUAGUUUUUAAGAAUGAUUUAACAAAAGGAAAAAAGGCGUGAGAGUUACCGGGGAUAUCCUCUGGGAAUAAACAUAAAGGAAGGUUCUAGCA